AGAUUAAAUCAGUUGUGUUAUAACUUCCGGCAUAAAAGUGUAUAUAAAGAGUCAAAUUGGCUCUGAGAUAAAUAAAGUUUUACUCUGGUAUAGUAGAGUUAUUAGAUACCGUAACAAAAGAUGAUGAGUUUGUUGCCAUUUUCUCUUGGUGUUCUGCUUAUAGCAGCCGUGAGCAUUGAUGUUACUUCAUCUGUGUCUCUUGUGGAAGGACCCUGCUUCGGUCUGUCGGAAUGCAAUGCAAUGAAAUGUUUGAAGUAUUGUACAGGAAUCGGCUAUCGUACCGCUAAUUGUCACCUUGAUGUCAAUCGCUGUGCAUUAGCAGGGUACACUGGAGAGUACAGGUGCCAAUGCAGUGAGGUUGACCUGUUUCCAUACGUCUAAAAGCCAUCUCGAAAUAAAAUAAAACAAUCAUAUUGUCCUCUCAGCUAAUCCAUUCAGACCAAUAUGAUAUUCAUUAACCAUGUGCACAAAGCAAAUUCAAUGUAAUUGCUAACUAUUUUUUUUUAUGGAAAAUUAAACUUUUUUGCAGUUUA